UCAAAUAUGUUAUGUAGAGUGUAGUUAUAUCAGCCAUUUGGCUCACGUCGCCGUGUUAAUGGGUAAAGGCUGUUAAUUCGCGCUUGUUGACUGGAAUAAGCGAGCGUACCUGCUGUUACUGUAACAUUCCUCAGGGUGGCAGCAGAGGACCAUUUAUAAAUUAAUUAUUUCCUUGAAAAAAUGUAUGGACAUUUAGAGCAUGGGAUUAAAUUACAUAUUUUCUAUUGUAAGGAAUCCAUUCUAGUUUUGGUACAACUGUGUAGAUAUUGAUGUUAGAGUGUUAUUGAUAUUGUAAAAGGUACACAGUCAUUUAAAUUAAUUUUAUUUCAUUUGUAAGUUUAUUUUAUUAAGAUUAUAUCACAAUGUAAAGAUUACAAAGUCUUUCAAGCCAACAUAGUAACUUACAGCAGAGUAUGAUUGUCAUGCUGUGGUGGGAGCAAGUUGUGCCGAUUCAUCUAUCCAUCUUCCUGAACUGACUGGUUGUGUGUGUCCCAUUGCAGAAUAAGACUGGAAUGCCCCAUCCCCCUUUUUAUUCCUGUGCCCUAUAUGAGUCAGUAAGCAGAACGGGGGACAGAGUGGUCACAAGUUGAAAACAAUGUCUGCUUAAUCUGUUGCCGCAGCUUCUCAUGCCGAAGCAACUGCCCGGUCCUGUUUAAUGCCAUCCGACUUGUGAGUUCUCGCAAUUGAAAGGUAUAUACUUUUAAUGUAAUACAUUUACAGGUAUACAUUUACAGGUGCGGUUAGUCGAACACCUACAUUUCAUUUCUGUUCUCGCUUGCCACAGCCCCGUCUGUUUGUUGUGCACCCCUUGUUCGGUCCUGUGCCUUGCAAGCUCUGCAAGCCAGAAAAGUGCAUACAAGAGUGGGCCAUAUGCCAUCAGAAGUCCAGGGCAGUGGAUGAUGAAGCACUUUUUCAGCAUAUGCUUCCCUGGGAAUACUUCCUGCAACAGAGCAAGAAAGACAACAAUGUUCUCCAAAAUCAAUGUCACACGGCACAUGGACACAUGGAGCAAACGGUGCGGCGCACUGGGCAGGGCUACUGAAUGUUGGUAUCUUUGGGACCAGAGCAACAAAGUCCCAGGUGUGGCAACACAACACAUUACCCUUUGGCCCAUUUUCCACCUCUCAAAUGCACACUUUCCCUCUGGCUCUGGCUUAUCUACCUUCUGUUACGAACAAUGUUUUUUGCCCAGCUCAGCAUUCACCUCUCUCUGGCUUUAGCCAUCUCUUACGACUUAAAGAUCCAUUAAAAGAUUGGGUGCAGAUGUGUUUGCAUGUGUAAAGUGUAAAUGAGUUAAACUAUGCAUUGGUGCAUUCAUUCAGUCAUGUCAUGCUGUGUGGCAGUGUCAGAUGGGACCACUGUGUGGGGUGGAGCCGU